UCCUGUCUGUUUCAAAACGGGGCUGGGAGGGUAGAUUAUAAACCCUCCCUCAAGGAAUCCUAAUGAAGAAAGUGGGUUUUCGAACCCUUUGAAGCUUUAUCUACUGGCGGUGUUUGUCAGAGGUAACAAUGAAGAGAAGAGAGAGAAAACCCGCCUAACCGAGACUAUUCCUCGAAGAGUGGUGAUCCGCUUAAACAAACAGGUUGGUUCAGUACGCUUCCCGCCUAGCCCAUCAUCCCUAAUGAACGGCAAGAGCAGGUCCUUUUCUCGAGCAAAGCCAGACGGAACAGAGGCUAAGCAAGCUGAGGCAUGAAGUUCACCGCUGACAGUUCAAGUAGCAAUUCCUGUCAGUGAGGGAUGGAAUCUCGUAUUAUAAAGGGCUUCUCUCAUUCACGAUGGAAACUAGUCCUACCAUGGGCAGCGUGAAUUCAACCCCUGCCGAGAAGCGGCGUCUAGCUAAAGCAUCUCUCACUUUCAAUUGUAAGAAUGCAGCAUUCAGGAAAAUGUUUCCAGAGUACGUGGAGAAGUAUAUCCAGUAGUGGCUUGCAGAGCAGUAGGUUUGGGAGCAGAUGUAGCCAGAUGUGCCGCAAGAAGAAAAUUCCAAACCCAAGGUUGAAAAAGUUGGUCAUUUGCAGAUUUAUGCAGUUGGCUACAUAAUUCACAUGUUGAAUUUUAGUUGGUUUAUUUUGCAUCUGGGGGCAUUAUCAUUGUGAAGUUGCGUCAUGGGCAAGAACUGAGGCUUAGAGCAAUAGCCAGAAAAGGGAUUGGCAAAGAUCAUGCAAAAUGGUCACCUGCUGCAACUGUCACUUUCAUGUACGAACCAGAGAUCCACAUCAAUGAAGAUUUAAUGGAAACUCUGAUGCUUGUAGAGAGACAAGCCUGGGUUGAAAGUAGUCCACCCAAAGUGUUUGACCUUGAUGAAGCUACAGGACAGGUUGCAAUCCUUUUAUAAAAAUUAGUCUAAAUAGUCUUAUCCAUUUUAAUAGCAGCUUCAUAUGUUCUGCUUGUAUGUUACAGUUAAAAAGAUGCCUGUUGUUGCAAGAGGUAAUUCCAGUAUGGAAUUUUCAUUUUGCCCUUAAAAGACAUAAAAAACCUAACUUCACUCUUAUCUGAAAUGUCUGAUAUGAAUAACAGUUGGAAAUCUCCCCAAGAUAGAGGAAAAGGUAGAACUAGAUGCGGAAUGUUUGUUCUUUUUAUUUUAUUUUUGAGCAGUUUACACUGGUGAAUAUGAAUGGCAUUGAUGAUGUUAGAGACCUUUUUGGUCAUUCAAGGAGCAUAUUGCAGAAAUUUUUGUGGGCUCUUCUCUGUAAUAUCAGAGCAUCAUUCUAUUAGGUUCCAUUUCUUUCCUUGAUAUUUUAGAAUGCUAAAUUAAGAAAUUUUAAUAAGCUGUUGCCCUUGAGAGCUGCAACUUGUGUGUAGACCUCUUUAAUCUCUUUUUUAGAUUUUGGGAUAUUUGAAUGUGUUAAUUGUAUAAUUUUCUUCCAUAUAUUUUUCUAUUCUUUUUUCUUUUUGAAACAAUAAUGUGGCAGCUAUAAGCAUGAUGCAUGACCAGGGAAAACAAAUGCUCUUGCCUUCACAAGAGACACCUUUUGCAGGUUGGAUUUUUCAAAAAUUGUCUUUUUAUGAUGAAGAGCAAAAUGGGCAAUGUACGUAUCAAACUUUUUUCAGUUAUUGUUGUUUUAGUGAUGUCAGAGGCCAAUAAGGGCAAAAACUAUGCACCAAACUUUUCAUUACUGAAUUGAUUACUUUUCAUUGUUGUUUAUGCAAUAUUGUAAAAUUUAUACUAUUGUUCAAUUUUGUCUACUCAGAGCAACAGUGAUAUAUAUAUUAUUCGAUCAA